rnacentral:rRNA from 1 species
UACGUAGGCAGCGAGCGUUGUUCGGAAUUACUGGGCGUAAAGAGUGUGUAGGUGGUGCUCUAAGUUUGGUGUGAAAUCUCCCGGCUCAACCGGGAGGGUGCAUCGAAAACUGGAGUGCUAGAGGAUGGGAGAGGCAAGCGGAAUUCCUGGUGUAGCGGUGAAAUGCGUAGAUAUCGAGAGGAACACCUGAGGUGAAAGCGGCUCACUGGACCACAACUGACGCUGAUGCGCGAAAGCUAGGGGAGCAAACAGG